UGGGGAAUAUUGCACAAUGGGCGCAAGCCUGAUGCAGCCAUGCCGCGUGUGUGAAGAAGGCCUUCGGGUUGUAAAGCACUUUCAGCGAGGAGGAAGGUGGUGAACUUAAUACGUUCAUCAAUUGACGUUACUCGCAGAAGAAGCACCGGCUAACUCCGUGCCAGCAGCCGCGGUAAUACGGAGGGUGCAAGCGUUAAUCGGAAUUACUGGGCGUAAAGCGCACGCAGGCGGUUUGUUAAGUCAGAUGUGAAAUCCCCGGGCUCAACCUGGGAACUGCAUUUGAAACUGGCAAGCUAGAGUCUCGUAGAGGGGGGUAGAAUUCCAGGUGUAGCGGUGAAAUGCGUAGAGAUCUGGAGGAAUACCGGUGGCGAAGGCGGCCCCCCUGGACGAAGACUGACGCUCAGGUGCGAAAGCGUGGGGCAGCAAACAGGAUUAGAUACCCCGGUAGUCACGCUGUAAACGAUGUCGAUUUGGAGGUUGUGCCCUUGAGGCGUGG
rnacentral:rRNA from 1 species